GUUUCCCUUACUAUUAUUUUUAAUUUUAUUUUUAUGUUUGAAUUGAUGAGAGAGAGAGAAGCAUUGAUUUGUUGUGCCACUGACUCAUGCAUUUCUUGGCUGCUGCGUGUAUGUGCCCUGACCAGGGGUGGAACCCACAAUGUUGGUGCAUCAGGCCGAUGCUCUAGUGGUCGGCAAACCGCGGCUCUGCAAACCGCAGCUCGUGAGCCACAUGCGGCUCUUUGGCCCUUUCAGUGUGGCUCUUCCACAAAAUACUGACUUCUGUGCAUGGGCCACGGAGUUUCAAUUGCACUGUUACAUGCGUGCCCGCAUGUGAUAUUUUGUGGAAGAGCCACACUGAAGGGGCCAAAGAGCCGCAUGUGGCUCGCGAGCCGCGGUUUGCCGACCACGGCUCUAACCAACCAAGCUACUCGGCCAGAGUCCCCUUGUUCUUAUUAAUGUCUUAGGUUAUUGUGGCACGUCGAUCACGACUAAGAAACUGACACUGAUACAUUAUUAUUAGCUAAGCUCCACGCUUUAUUGGGAUUGCACGAAUUUUGCCCCACUGUCCCUUCCUGCCCCAAGACCCGCCCAGGACACCCAGGGCCUGUAGUCACGUCGCCCUAGCGCCUGGCCUGUGACAGCUUCUCACUCGCUGUGGUGACCUGGAGAGUGUGAGAAGCCUGGCCAGGCUUUGGGUAGGGCGGCCCUCCAUGGAGGUGUGCACCAUGCUUUCCUCUGGUUCCAUUAGGGUUUGCGUCCUCGGAAUGAAGGCCCCGGAGGCCCUUCUCAUGAUGGGUCAGCAGCGUUUCUCGCCGAUGAGCUUAACCUUGGUCACCUGGCACAGGUAGCCUUUGCUGGGUUUUUCCGCUGUCCUUACCUUUUCCACUCCCCUUUCCAAGCAAGGCACCAAACGCAGCCCACACUCAAGACGCCCUCCCUUUUAUUUCAUUUUUUUAAAUGUGUUUUUAUUGAUUUUUAGAAAGAGAGGAAAGGAGGGGGAGAGAGAGAAGCAUCAUGAGAGAGAAACAUCAUCAAUCAGCUGCCUCCUACAUGCCCCAGCUGGGAGGGUCAAGCCCGCAAUCCAGGCAUGAGCCCUGAUGGGGAAUCGAACCGGCAACUUCCUGGUGUUCAACCACUGAGCCACACCCGCCGGGCAAGUCACGCCCACCCCCACCCCCCUAAACAGUGCCAUGCUGUUACUCAUUCUGGUUUUUCUUCACGUGCCCUGAGGAGUGUCUGAGUGGGUCAUCAGCGGUAAACAAAGCCGGCAGCGUGGUGCGGAGUGGACGGGCUGCAGUCCGGCCCCUGGCUCAGGAAAUGGGUCUGGGAGUUGCGGGAGUUGCUGACUCAGUGCGGAGGGUGAGACAGCAUCCCAGCCGGGGGGCCUGCGUGCACGCCAGCACGGAGGGUGGGAGGCGUGUGCCUGCAUGAGAAAGCCGUGGUCCAGACCCAGGCGGUGACUGUGUGUGUUGUAUGUGGCCAGAAGCCAGGCAGGGAGAGGGUUAGACGCCUAAAAUAAAAUCCCUAGGUUUACAAAAGCAACCACGUACAGUGAAGGAGAACUGCCCAAGUGUGGCAGUCGGGGGACAUAGCAACACGUACUUCUUUUUGUUUUUCUUUUAAAUAUUUUUAUUUCAGAGAGGAGGGGAGAGGGAGAGAGAGAGAAUCGUCAAUGAGAGAGCAUCGCUGAUGGGCUGCCUCCUGCACGCCCCCUACUGGGGAUGGAGCACACAACCUGGGCGUGUGCCCUGACUGGAAAUUGAACCUUGAUGUCCUGGUUCAUAGGUCGAUGCUCCACCACUGAGCCACACCGGCUGGGCUCAACACAUACUUCUUUACGAACAAGUUAGAUAGUAACCAGGAGGCGGGCUCCGUGGAACUGCCAAGCGGUGAUGCGCACAAUACCUGGGGUUCCCACCGCAACUGUGCUAGGAAAACAGAUGUGACCUCAGCGGGUGAGGUCAGGGUUCAUGUCUGUGUGGAGACAGAGCAAAAUGCUCAGUGGCAACUAGAGGUCAGUGAGAACCAGGAUGCCUGUUCUCCCGUCCAGCCCGUGGCCCCUGAGUUCCCUCCGUGGAUUCCUGGUGGGAGGCUCCCAGGUGAGGAAGCCGGGCUCCAGGCCCAGGUGGGCACGCGCAGGCUCCUGCGGAUCAGCACUCACAGUAAGGGCCUCUCCGGUGCCCCCUCCUGAGCGGAGCAGAGGAAAGGCAGGUGACGGCAACACCAGCAAGUGCUGGGCACCCACCAGCUUUGGGGUGGAGCCGGCACAGACACCCUGGACCUGCCUCCACCAGCUCCCCCGGCUCAGGCCUCCACGGAGGGAGGGAGCGACCGCCGGACUGGGCAGGUGUUUGCUAUUUGGAGUCGGUGGCCGGAGGCUGUUCUGCCAGCUGGGAUCCGCCUUUGUUCUCCCGGCUGCUGGUUUUGGUUUCGUGCCCUCAUCCGUGGGUCUCGGCAGCAGCUGGAGACCCAGUCCCUUCCCACCCACUCCCGGGGUAACCCCGAUUCCUCCCACCAGGCUUCCUGUGACCCCGGGAGCUACGAUUCGUUUCCCAAACUGGAGCGCCUCUUCAGUGAGAACCCAGCUCUUGGGUCUCGGCUGAAUUGGAUUCCCCGUCACGGAGUCUGAUUUGUAGAGGGCUGGUGUGGUAAAGCAGCUCGGUGAGUUCCCCCUGAGAAAACCCGGCACGGCCCACACAGACUAGAAGAGAUUACUCAGGGGGUCAGUUCUCCUCACACGGAGUUUCCCCCCCAAUAACCCAUUUUCCAGGUCUCUGUUCCUAUGGCCCUUAAAGGAAGAGUCAGCGGAUAGAAACGAGGCCGUCACACACGUGUGGAAGCGGAGAGCUUCUGAGUGAAGGUAGGAUCACACGCCGCUGCUUUUGUUCACCAGCUGUGUGCGCACCACGGGGCGCCUGGCACGGCCCAGGCCCUCGGGAGGUCGCAGUGCGGAGGACACAGUCUGGCCCUCGUGUCCCGGUGGGGAACCCCUCUGCAGGCCAUGCACAUCCCCUUCGCUGCACAUCGCAGCGUGCAGUGCUGGGCGAACCACACCGCCUGUGAGCGCAGGGCCUGGUUCGGGGCGGCAGGAGGGACGGUCCGCUGGGGAGGCUGGGAUUCUGCCUACCUCACACGCUUCUGGGCACUCGGCACCUCAGUGACCUGAAUGCCAGGUUCCCCUCUUGGAAAAGGCCCUAGAGCAGCGCUUCUCAACCUGUGGGUCGCGACCCCUUUGGCGGUCAAACGACCCUUUCACAGGGGUCGCCUAAGACCAUCCUGCAUAUCAGAUACUUACAUGACGAUUCAUAACAGUAACAACAUGACAGUGAUGAAGGAGCAACGAAAAUAAUUUUAUGGUUGGGUCACAACAUGAGGCACUGUAUUUAAAGGGCCAGAAGGUUGAGAACCACUGCCCUAGAGAGACAGUGAGGAAGGGCAGAAAAUAAAAACGAGAGCGAGGAGUCGCCGACUUCGACGUGUUCUCCUGCCCUGAUGUGCUUGGGAGCUCUGAGAGGAGGAAAGACAUCGGGGUGAUCAGGCCAGUCAGCGGGGGUUGCAAUCCCGACCCCCUCGGACCAGCUGGGCGGCGGUGGCCCCGUUUCCUCGCGGCUCUUAGCUUCCAUUUCACAUUUGUAAGAGCAGGAAUCGUAAUGGGCACCUUUCAACACGACCCUGACGUGUCCGUGAGCUAGUGCAAGGGAGGCACCGAGAACAUGGCGUGUGGCAGGUACAGAGCGAAAGAAGGUAACAGUAAAGAGUUCUAGUUCACUAACAAAAUGAAUACUGGCCUCCUUGCCAUGGGGACAGCCUUGUCGUGCUAUCUGCUGCAACCCCAUUGGCUCUUGAUCCCUGUUUCUAACCAACUGGUAAACCUCAGUCUUGUGGGUCAGAACGGGGUCGUGUGGGUCGGCGGACCCGAAGUCUGUGACAUGGGUCACUGAGGCAGAAAGAGACGGUGUGUCCUGGGCCCGGUGGCCCUUGCCACCCAGGCUGAUGCAGGCUGGACCCACCCCCUGGCCUGACCCACCCCCGGCCUGGACCUCGGCCACUGUAGGAGGGUCUGGCCUGGACAUUAGUUGAGGUCCCUAAGUGCAGAAGAAUGUCCCAGAACACCACUGUCAGGGUGAGCGAGGCCAUCCAGGGGCUCCCCCACCUCCCCUGAGCCCCCAGGCCGGUGGGGGUCUGGCUUUGGGGAAGAGCCUGGCCCAUCCCCCGUGGACGUCCUGGUGGUCAGCAGCAGAUGCGUGCUGCGUCCGUCACUCCUUCGGAAAAUGGGCUGACCUGGCUCUGCCCUUGGAGUCCUGACUGGGGACUUUCCUCAGGAACAAGAAUGAAAUUGACCAAAUGGCAUUUCUAAGGAAAUGACCCCAACGUGUACCCCUCACAGCGCAGGAGUGAGGAGGAACUUAGCCUCAGCAAGGCCCGGAUUCAUGGACACAGUUCUCCGUG